rnacentral:rRNA from 1 species
UACGAAGGGGGCUAGCGUUGUUCGGAAUUACUGGGCGUAAAGCGCACGUAGGCGGAUCGAUCAGUCAGGGGUGAAAUCCCAGGGCUCAACCCUGGAACUGCCUUUGAUACUGUCGAUCUGGAGUAUGGAAGAGGUGAGUGGAAUUCCGAGUGUAGAGGUGAAAUUCGUAGAUAUUCGGAGGAACACCAGUGGCGAAGGCGGAGACCUGGGCCAAUACUGACGCUGAGGUGCGAAAGCGUGGGGAGCAAACAGG